GUAAAAAACAGUUUUAAAGUCAAUAAUAACCAUUUGUUUUCUUUAUUUCUAGUGAGUGGAUUGAGAGCGAACAUUUUAGGCAAAGAAAAUUUGUCUCAGUCUCAGAUUGAACAGUUAAUUGAUCAAUUAAAACAGGAGCUGAUCAGAGGAGGAGUACCCGGCAACUUCACCAUGCGCUUGAGAAACUAUAGAGAUAUCGGUUCUCUGUAAGGACUCUGUACUUAAUAUUACUUCAAUGUACUACAAGCUUUUAUGUAAUUUGUUUUUAAUGUUGUUUAAGUGGCCUUUAUUGUUAUUUUAUUUUUAGCUUCUCAAGAACGAGUUAAAAAGAUACCCCUUCCUACACGAUUUAAGGUUAAAAACGCUCUUUGCAUGUUUGUAUCUCCUCUUUGCCCCGCCUCCCUGAAAUGCGCAUAUUUUUUACAAAGCUCAUCGCUCUGAAAUGCGAGGUGUGCUUUGAUUGGCCAGUUCAUUGGUGCGUAGUGAUUGGUCGGAUACUGCAAGCGUGUGACGGAAAUGUAAAGUCUCUUACUAUAUUUGGAAUAUCAGGUUCCAAAGCAAUUGUACUGACAGGUACGCCAACUUUACUUGCGUAUAGAUUUGGGCGUCUUAGUCAAAUCAUACCACGAACUGACGUGGAUUGUUGGGGGUGUGGUUACACGAGGCGUUUUUGGCAGGUCUGUUGAGCAAUCGCUUUUAGAUAGAAUGCAUCUUUUGUUCCGAGACCUUCAUUUGUGCAAUUUUAGGUGCUAAUACAUGCAUGGGCAACCAACCAAGGAAACAUAAAAACAAGUAUUUGCACCAUAUGACCCUUUAAACAUUUUCCUAAACUAUAGUAGUGCUACCCGGGAUUGAUUUUACCACAUGCAUAUUCAUUUAUCUCUGGGCUUUUUGGUCAAAUGUAAAUAUAUGUUCUCAUUUUGAUUUUUUCAUGGUUUUUGGGUGUGAGCCUUAGAACACUAUUUCAUUAAAACUUGAUCAUUAAGCAACCGUUA